rnacentral:rRNA from 1 species
GCGUAUGUUCGCGACCGGCGUUCGUAGAUGCUUCUUAGAGGGACUGACCACGUUUAGUGGUAGGAAGUUUGAGGCAAUAACAGGUCUGUGAUGCCCUUAGAUGUUCUGGGCCGCACGCGCGCUACACUGACAAAGUCAGCGAGUAUAUAACCUUGGCCGGAAGGUCUGGGCAAUCUUGUGAAACUUUGUCGUGCUGGGGAUAGACCAUUGCAAUUAUUGGUCUUCAACGAGGAAUUCCUAGUAAGCGCAAGUCAUCAGCUUGCGUUGAUUACGUCCCUGCCCUUUGUACACACCGCCCAUCGCUACUACCGUUGAAUGGCUAA